UCCGGUUUGUCACCGGCGGUCUCCCUAGAGUUCCCACCUUUACGUGCUGGCAACUAGGGACAAGGGUUGCGCUCGUUGCGGGACUUAACCCAACAUCUCACGACACGAGCUGACGACAGCCAUGCAGCACCUGUCUCGCGGCUCCCGAAGGCACCAAGGCAUCUCUGCCAAGUUCCGCGGAUGUCAAGGCCAGGUAAGGUUCUUCGCGUUGCAUCGAAUUAAACCACAUACUCCACCGCUUGUGCGGGCCCCCGUCAAUUCCUUUGAGUUUCAGUCUUGCGACCGUACUCCCCAGGCGGCGAACUUAACGCGUUAGCUUCGAUACUGAAGGGCAAGUUCCCCCCAACAUCCAGUUCGCAUCGUUUAGGGCGUGGACUAC
rnacentral:misc_RNA from 1 species